rfam:Daphnia pulex DAPPTscaffold_256_Cont7907, whole genome shotgun sequence.
GGCUUAUUGGUCUAGUGGUAUGAUUCUUGCUUUAGGUGUAAGAGGCCCCGGGUUCAAAUCCCGGAUGAGCCC